rnacentral:rRNA from 1 species
GUGAACGCUGGCGGUAGGCCUAACAACUGCAAGUCGAACGGCAGCACAGUAAGAGCUUGCUCUUACGGGUGGCGAGUGGCGGACGGGUGAGGAAUACAUCGGAAUCUACUUUUUCGUGGGGGAUAACGUAGGGAAACUUACGCUAAUACCGCAUACGACCUACGGGUGAAAGCAGGGGAUCUUCGGACCUUGCGCGAUUGAAUGAGCCGAUGUCGGAUUAGCUAGUUGGCGGGGUAAAGGCCCACCAAGGCGACGAUCCGUAGCUGGUCUGAGAGGAUGAUCAGCCACACUGGAACUGAGACACGGUCCAGACUCCUACGGGAGGCAGCAGUGGGGAAUAUUGGACAAUGGGCGCAAGCCUGAUCCAGCCAUACCGCGUGGGUGAAGAAGGCCUUCGGGUUGUAAAGCCCUUUUGUUGGGAAAGAAAAGCAGCAGGUUAAUACCCCGCUGUUCUGACGGUACCCAAAGAAUAAGCACCGGCUAACUUCGUG